GAUCUCCUAGCAGAAAUGUGAGAGACCCCUUAGAGACGAUGAGGUAGAUAGGGCAGGGGUGGAAGUGCAGCGAUGCAUGGAGCUGACUGCUACUAAUCGGUCGAAAGCUUGACCUAA
rnacentral:rRNA from 1 species